rnacentral:rRNA from 1 species
GACGAACCGUGCGAACGUUGUUCGGAAUCACUGGGCUUAAAGGGCGCGUAGGCGGGUGUGCAAGUCUGCGGUGAAAGCCUCCAGCUUAACUGGAGAAGUGCCGUGGAUACUGCAUAUCUUGAGGAGGGUAGGGGCAUCUGGAACAUUGGGUGGAGCGGUGAAAUGCGUUGAUAUCCAAUGGAACUCCGGUGGCGAAGGCGAGGUGCUGGACCCUUUCUGACGCUGAGGCGCGAAAGCCAGGGGAGCAAGCGGG